AUCCCAGAUAUAUCUUCUCUUAUGUUUAUCUGAUUCAUGGGAGGCAAAUAUUGAACAAUGGAAGUUUCGCUGAUAGCACCUUUUUUGUCUUUCCGGAGGUGUUUUAAUAGUAGCUUUCCAUACAUAA